GCCAGGCAUGGUGGUGCAUGCAUGUAAUUCCAGCUAGUUGGGAGGCUGAGGCAGGAGGAUCACAAGUUCAAAGCCAGCCUCAGCAAAAGUGAGAUGCUAAGCAACUCAGUGAGACUCUGUCUCUA
rnacentral:sRNA from 1 species